rnacentral:rRNA from 1 species
CGCUCCUUGUUUCUUCAUAUAUAGGGAGUCGUUCCUGCUCUAUGACGUGCGCGUUCAAUAGUGGCGGUAUAAGUGACCGUCUUAAGGUAGCGUAAUUGUUGCCUGUUAAUUGCUGGCCAGUGAAUGGAUUGACGGAUUAAAAUUGUCUCAUUUGUACUCCUUAGAAUUUAACUUUUAGGUGAAGAGGCCUAAAUAGUAUAGAAAGACGAAAAGACCCUAUCAAACUUGAAUCAAUAUGACUGUGUGUGGGCUAGUUUAAAUAUAGUUUCGAUGAAGUAAGGUUAACAUUUUAAUGUAUAAGUGGGUUUCAUCGUGAUUAUUGGCAGGAUGUAAGUUGUGAAGGGAUUUUGGUUGGGGCAACAAGGGAAAAUAAAAAUUCUCUAUAAUAACUUUAAAAUAUGCGUAUAUGUACCCUUUAUUUUGAAGAAUAUGGAAUAAGUUACUGUAGGGAUAACAGCAUUAUUUCUUUGGCGAGUUCGUAUCAAUAAAGAAGUGUGUGACCUCGAUGUUGAAUUAGGGCUAUCUUUUAGGUUGUAGGAGCUUAAGGAGUGGGUCUGUUCGCCCUU